CAACUUUCAGCAACGGAUCUCUUGGCUCUCGCAUCGAUGAAGAACGCAGCGAAAUGCGAUAAGUAAUGUGAAUUGCAGAAUUCAGUGAAUCAUCGAAUCUUUGAACGCACCUUGCGCUCCUUGGUACUCCGAGGAGCAUGCCUGUUUGAGUGUCAUU
rnacentral:rRNA from 2 species